UACGUAGGGUGCAAGCGUUAUCCGGAAUUAUUGGGCGUAAAGAGCUCGUAGGCGGUUUGUCGCGUCUGCUGUGAAAACUGGAGGCCUCAACCUCCAGCCUGCAGUGGGUACGGGCAGACUAGAGUGCGGGUAGGGGAGAUUGGAAUUCCUGGUGUAGCGGUGGAAUGCGCAGAUAUCAGGAGGAACACCGAUGGCGAAGGCAGAUCUCUGGGCCGUAACUGACGCUGAGGAGCGAAAGCAUGGGGAGCGAACAGG
rnacentral:rRNA from 1 species